UACGUAGGGUCCAAGCGUUUGUCCGGAUUUAUUGGGCGUAAAGAGCUCGUAGGCGGUUCCGUAAGUCGGAUGUGAAAACUCGGGGCUCAACCCCGAGACGCCAUCCGAUACUGCGGUGACUUGAGUCUGGUAGGGGAACACGGAAUUCCUGGUGUAGCGGUGAAAUGCGUAGAUAUCAGGAGGAACACCUGUGGUGUAGACGGCUUUCUGGACCAUAGCUGACGCUGAGACACGAAAGCGUGGGUAGCAAACAGG
rnacentral:rRNA from 1 species